rnacentral:rRNA from 1 species
UCAGACGAUGCGUCAUGCAUAUCAAUAAGCGGAGGAAAAGAAACUAACAAGGAUUCCCCUAGUAACGGCGAGUGAAGCGGGAAGAGCUCAAAUUUGAAAUCUUGAAAGGUUACCUUUCACGAAUUGUAGUUUAAAGAAGUGUUUUCUGUUACGAUCAUAAUAUAAGUUCUUUGGAAUAGGACAUCAUAGAGGGUGAGAAUCCCGUAUAUGAUUAUGAUUUUGUAACUUUGUGAUACACUUUCAAAGAGUCGGGUUGUUUGGGAAUGCAGCCCAAAAUGGGUGGUAAAUUUCAUCUAAAGCUAAAUAUUGGCGAGAGACCGAUAGCGAACAAGUACCGUGAGGGAAAGAUGAAAAGAACUUUGAAAAGAGAGUUAAACAGUACGUGAAAUUGUCAAAAGGGAAGCGUUUGACACCAGUGUUGUUUUUCUGAAAAUCAAUUAAAGAACUGUUUAUGCUAAGCUGUUUAGACUUUAUCAGCUAGCUGUUUAGUUUUGAGCUCUUUCUUUAAUGCACUUUUCAGUUAACAAGUCUACAUCAAUUUCUUUUGCUGUAAAAAAGCUUGAGGAAGGUGGCUUGAGAUUCGUCUUAAGUGUUUAUAGCCUCUUGCCUAUGCAGUCGGAGAGAUUGAGGUCUGCAGCGUAGAUCCUUCGGGGCUAAAUGCAUUUGUGCUAAGUUAUAGCAUUUUAUAGACAACUUGUUGACUAUGAUUUGUCUUGUAGCUUACUCGCUUAUGUUAUUUUACCUACGCUUAGGAUGUUGAGCGCAUGUCUCUCUCU